GAUGCGCCGGUGUGAAAGGCAGCUUACCAUUUCACUCGUUAAAUCACGCAGGCGGGUGAUGCACCAGUUCAGCUGCAGGAUCAACUGGUGAGCUGCGAGGCCGCCAUUGAGAAGUUAAUCGCCAACGUCGGCGCUUACGCCGCCAACCCAGAUGAAGAAAAACUGGUUAGAAACAUGAACGGCGAAGCGUUCCAGCACUUCAUAGAGGACAAGAUGCCAAAUGGAAGCGUUCGCGUGACGUUUGAAGAGGAGGGAUAUUCGUCAGACGAGUACGAGCUUGACAGUUUGGACAACGAAGAUAUGCUCACUAGAACGGACAUCAAGUUUCGCGGACAAAACAAGCUUGAGUCGAAGCAGAAGAAAAGCUUCCGGGCCAAAAAGCGAUGAAUCCCAAAUAUUACUGCAGUAUUGUGGUCCCUAUCCCAAAAUAAAGCAUUGCUGCGGUGUGCGGUGUGAGGUGAGCCAAUUGCAUACGAUAGAAGUAUUGUAAAGCUGUUUCAUGCAUCUUUAAUUUUGCUAUCUACGGUACUGCUACGAAUUGAAGAUAAAUGUCGUGAAUGUAAGUGGAAUUGUUCAACAAGUAUACAACACGCAAAAAUAUCACGCACAUGAAAAAGAAAAAGCUUUAUCCCUGCGACAACAGUUACGUAGAGGCAUGUUCAUAUCUCAUGUUCACAGCAGUAGUUGUAUCAGUGAAGCUAUCAUGGAUACUCGAAUAAAAUGUGAUAAUUUAGACCUAGUCUA